UAAACGACUCUCGGCAACGGAUAUCUCGGCUCACGCAUCGAUGAAGAACGUAGCAAAAUGCGAUACUUGGUGUGAAUUGCAGAAUCCCGUGAACCAUCGAGUUUUUGAACGCAAGUUGCGCCYGAAGCCUUYUGGUUGAGGGCACGUCUGCCUGGGCGUCACGU
rnacentral:rRNA from 1 species